rnacentral:lncRNA from 1 species
UUCCGUUCCCAGCAUCCACAUGGCAACCUACAACCAUCCAUAACUCCAGUUCCAGGGGACCUGGUGUCUUCUGGCCUCUGCAGGCUCCAGGCAUGCACAAGGCGUACAGACAUGCUUUCAGGUGAAACACCCGGACACAUAAAUAAAAGUAAACACAUUGAAAAAUGGAGCCAUCAAGGUGACAGGAUUGGAAUCUCAUGUGAAGGCCUUAGUGGGUGUUCCUCCAGCCUUUUUGACACAUGGGUCACAGGGACACCAUCAGACUCUGAGCCACCGUUCUCCAGGUUCUUCAAGAUGCCAUCCCUUCAAUGAAAUGCGUGGUUCCCACCCUUCUGACCCUUGGUGCUUUCCCUCUGGUCUCCAGGGCUCCUCUCACUGUUGAGGGAGGCCAACUAUCA